UGCUGUUGGGGACACUUCCAGGGUGCUUGUGUAUGCCCUUUGCAUUGAGUUUUGCACUGAAGGCUCCCUAGAAAAACAUGUCCACCUGACAGGAUGACCAGCUGGUGUGGAGUUGUCAUAGGCUACUUUGACCUCAUUAUGGUGUGUGACCUAGGAGGAUGAACCGCCAAGGCACAUUACAACCACGCAAUACCAAGGCUAUCUGUUUCCCAAGAAAGAGGUGACUGCGUUGAGACAAGAAGAAUCCAAAUCCUAUCUAGAACAGUGAAAGGCUGAGAGGAAACUUGGGGAAUGUGACAGCAGGAAAUGUCUUGCAUCUCAACAAACCCGAGCACAGCAUCACCACACAAAGAUAGAAAAACCUAAAUGAAUCACAAUCAAUAAUAGCAGCAUGGAAACAUAAGGAUAUAUUUCAUAAUAUGGUUUAUAGGGGGGGGGGGGGUAUGCCA